CUGUACGCGUAAUUCAUUUCAGGAACUAAAUGUUGAACAUGUUGAAUCAAUACGACAAUGCUAAUACAAUGCUUACUUUGUUAAAAUCAGGCAACUCCGGAUUUGGAAAUUAUAACAGCGGACUGAAUAGCUGGUUUCUGAGGAGUUUGGGGGGUUUCGGGGGUUUUGGAGGAGGAUUCGGAGGGUCAGAAGCUGGCGAUGCCGGUGACAUUAUUGAAAAGCAGCAAGCCAACCAAAGAAAAAAUAUGUUCAGAGGCGGAUCAUUUGGAAAUUCUUGGGGCAGCAGCGGGUAUUAUCCUUUCUUAGAUCCACAUGGUUUUUUUCCCUUUGAUGCCUGAUGACCUAGAAAUCCUCCACCUGUAUGGUACUGUGACAGUGUGUAUCCUACUCUGGUACUUUGUGAUAUAUGUAUCGACCUGCACUUUUAAAAAGGCAUUUCUAUCAUGCAUUAUGAUCAUCUGUGAUGCCAGGAAAAAACUGUUCACCCGAGCAACACUGCACCCCAGUAUAUUCUGUUUGGCAAAGAUUUAUGAAAUAAAGAUGGAAGCUUGA